AAUUAUACGGUUGACCCGCAGUGGAACAGUGUAGUAGAUUAACCUUCAAUUCUUCUCCUACAUGGAGAAAGAGGCCUAUGCCCAGCAGUGGG